GCACAGAAUGGCUGAUUGAGCUGACUUGGCUGGACCCAACUCACGCAAAGAAUGAUCAGGAACACAGAACUGAUUCUCCAGUAAAUUAUGGGAAAAAGAAAGGAAAGGAGAACAAGAAUUUGAAGGUCUGUUUUGCAGUUGGAGUUUCCGUUAUCUCGGAGGAAGAUUUUGUUUCCAAAACUGACUGAGCUGCUGCCUGAGAAAUGUCCCUGAGGGCUGUUUACACUCACACAUGCCCUCUUUUCGACUCCUGGGGUGGAAUUAA
rnacentral:lncRNA from 1 species